UACGUAGGGUGCAAGCGUUAAUCGGAAUUACUGGGCGUAAAGCGUGCGCAGGCGGCUUUGCAAGACAGAUGUGAAAUCCCCGGGCUUAACCUGGGAACUGCAUUUGUGACUGCAUGGCUAGAGUGCGGCAGAGGGGGAUGGAAUUCCGCGUGUAGCAGUGAAAUGCGUAGAUAUGCGGAGGAACACCGAUGGCGAAGGCGGCGCUCUGGACCGAGACUGACGCUGAGGCGCGAAAGCGUGGGGAGCAAACAGG
rnacentral:rRNA from 1 species